rnacentral:rRNA from 1 species
GAUGAACGCUGGCGGCGUGCCUAAUACAUGCAAGUCGAGCGAACAGAUGAGAAGCUUGCUUCUCUGAUGUUAGCGGCGGACGGGUGAGUAACACGUGGGUAACCUACCUAUAAGACUGGGAUAACUCGGGGAAACCGGGGCUAAUACCGGAUAAUAUUUUGAACCGCAUGGUUCAAUAAUGAAAGACGGUUUCGGCUGUCACUUAUAGAUGGACCCGCGCCGUAUUAGCUAGUUGGUAAGGUAACGGCUUACCAAGGCGACGAUACGUAGCCGACCUGAGAGGGUGAUCGGCCACACUGGAACUGGGACACGGUCCAGACUCCUACGGGAGGCAGCAGUAGGGAAUCUUCCGCAAUGGGCGAAAGCCUGACGGAGCAACGCCGCGUGAGUGAUGAAGUUCUUCAGAUCGUAAAACUCUGUUGUUAGGGAAGAACAAAUUUGUUAGUAACUGAACAAGUCUUGACGGUACCUAACCAGAAAGCCACGGCUAACUACGUGCCAGCCGCCGCCGUAA